UACGUAGGCAGCAAGCGUUGUUCGGAAUUACUGGGCGUAAAGAGUGUGUAGGCGGUGUUCUAAGUUUGUCGUGAAAUCUCCCGGCUUAACUGGGAGGGUGCGGCGAAAACUGUAAUGCUAGAGGAUGGGAGAGGUAAGCGGAAUUCCUGGUGUAGCGGUGAAAUGCGUAGAUAUCAGGAGGAACACCUGUGGUGUAGACAGCUUACUGGACCAUUUCUGACGCUGAGACACGAAAGCGUGGGUAGCAAACAGG
rnacentral:rRNA from 1 species